rnacentral:lncRNA from 1 species
CUCAGUUCUCUGACCCCAGUAAGUAGGAAUCAGUGCUAACCAAGGAUGUAAAAAAGGUGAGUCUAAUAUGCAGAACCAGAACUGAAAAGCUUAUUUAUCUUUAUUAGAUUCUUGUAUCUGAGAAACUGACCCAUCAUGGACAAAAUUUCAAGACCAAGGAGAAAGAAUGCCAUCUGGAAUUAAAGGAAGCAUGGCCCAGGCUCCAGCCGUGAAUCAUCCUGGGGGCCCAGUGCUUCUUCCUUCUAAUUGUUCCUUCAAGAUAAAAGAUGCUCUGUUUGAAUCCUGUGAAACCCAGAAAUGAAGCUUAAUUAUUUUAACUGAGAAAAGUGAAUCUCAAACAUGUGACCUGAAGCCAUCCAAAAAGCAAAGAACACCUGCUAACUUGGAAAGGGACAAAAUGUAAGAUAAGUCAGACAUUGGAUUGCAUAAUAUAGAGACUCUACAAAAUUUCUUGAUCUUAUAAUAGCACUCUGCUAAAUGUAGUAUGCAAAUGUUGUUGGGUGUUUUACAGAGCUGAGACCCUGCCCUAUGGGUUUUACAGUAAAAACCCAUCUCCUAAUAACUUACUGUAGCUGAAAUUCAGUGCAAGGCUAAGGGAAACAUAAUUCUUGAGAAGUGAUCCAAUCCAUCCAUCUGGAGAUGAUCAUCUCUACAUGAAAGAUAUUGAAUCAUUUUCUUGCCAAUUAGGUAGAGGUAUGUUCUUUUGAAUAUAAAAUUCUGUAGGGUACAGGUUUAAUGCACUUGUGUUGCUGAUAUAUUUAUGUAGGUCGAUGUAAGAACCUUCUCCCCUAGUUUGGGUUUCCAGAGAGAUCCUCUCAAAGGGUGUGUGUGUUGAGGAAGUAGUCUGGAUCCUCUUUCCCAGCUGAUGGGCUCCUAGGGAGGAGGCAUCACCUAGGAUGGGAACUGGAUAGCUAUUGUCUAUGUCUGCCAUUUGAGUUGGGGAGGGCAGAGUUCAAGGGCUCUGCUUGUAUCUGGAAAGUUCUCUGGCUCUGGUGUAGUGGCUGGUACCAGCUCUCCUGCCUCCUGUUUCCUACUGCUCAGAGUUUGCCUAGGAGGAGUUGCCUUCUCUCUCGUUCUCAUACUGUCUCUGUGCAAUGAUGAGCAUCUGGGGUAGGCCUGUGGUCCUGCACCUCCUUGAAUAAGUCUCAGGGUCUAGCAUGGGAGAGAGAAGCCUCACUGGAGCUUUAGCUCAAAUUGUUCUUCAAUCCUGUUUUAUGUGAGGAGCUGAUUCCUUGAUCCCCAUUGUGGCCAUUUCCCCCUCUGCUUUUAAUCUAUAGGUAAGAAGGAGCAAGCAUUAGGACUCUCACUCCAUCCCAGGCUCCAAAGUAUCACUUUAUUGUCUGGAGAUCCUAGGAAGGCCAGCAUCUGUGCUUGGCUAUUCUGAGUAACCCCCUCUCUGGGUGAAAUGCUGAGCAAGGGGUCUUCAUUGAAGCAGUACUUUUGAGAGAACCUGAAUGAGUUCCAAUACUCAGGGGGAUUCCAAGCAGGGUUGUGGAAUCAGAGAUGGCUCAGAGAUGAGGGCAGCAUCAUCAUACAGAUGUACAACAAUUGUCCAGUGAUAAACACUCAUAUGCUUCUGGAUCAUGUCAAUGUUUGGCCUUCCUUUGGUUCUCAAAACCGACCCAGGCCAGGUUCCUGGUGACCCCCAAUCUUUCAUCUGAUGCUUCCCUCUCUCCCUUUCCACUUCCCUUUCUCCUCUUUGAAAUGAGGGCUUGGCCAUUUGCAGUAAGAACAGUGGGUUAAGACAUAUCUUGAUAAUUUUUUAAAAACCACAUGAAUUUGAAACUGCUUAUCUAUUGAUCACAGUGAGCACUUAAAGGGGGUAUAUACAUAAAUGCAUGUAUAUAGGUAUGUAUGUGCAUAUCUACUACACAUGACAGAUGAAAUAUGCAAAUGUAUGCAUGUGAAAUAUAUAUAUAUAUAUACAUAUGUGUGUAUAAUCCUUUUUUAAGCAAAAAGGAUUUUUUUUAAGCAAAAACUUGAAGAUACCCAUUCUUUGCUAUUUAUGGCACCUGUCAAAUUUUAAACAC